GAUGAACGCUGGCGGCGUGCCUAAUACAUGCAAGUCGAGCGAACAGACGAGGAGCUUGCUCCUCUGACGUUAGCGGCGGACGGGUGAGUAACACGUGGAUAACCUACCUAUAAGACUGGGAUAACUUCGGGAAACCGGAGCUAAUACCGGAUAAUAUAUUGAACCGCAUGGUUCAAUAGUGAAAGACGGUUUUGCUGUCACUUAUAGAUGGAUCCGCGCCGCAUUAGCUAGUUGGUAAGGUAACGGCUUACCAAGGCAACGAUGCGUAGCCGACCUGGGAGGUGGUUCGGCCAAACGGGAACUGAGAACCGGUCCAGACUCCUACGGGAGGCAGCAGUAGGGAAUCUGCCGCAAUGGGCGAAAGCCUGACGGAGCAACGCCGCGUGAGUGAUGAAGGUCUUCGGAUCGUAAAACUCUGUUAUUAGGGAAGAACAAAUGUGUAAGUAACUAUGCACGUCUUGACGGUACCUAAUCAGAAAGCCACGGCUAACUACGU
rnacentral:rRNA from 1 species